UACGCAGGGAGCAAGCGCUAUCCGGAUUCUCUGUCUUUAAUGGCUGCGUAUUCGGAUUGAUAGGUCACUGGUGAAAGAUCCCAGCUUAAAUUGCAACCUGCCUUUGAAACUGCCCUUCUUGUAUGUCGUACACUUCACUUUAAUGGUGCCUGUGUCGCUGAAGUGCUUACAUGUGUUACAGAACACCUGUUGCGAUGGCAUCUUACUAUGCUUAUGAUUGACGCUGACGGACGAACGCGUGUGAAGCCCACAGGAUUACCAUACCCUGCUAGUCCACGCCCUAUGACGAUGAUUACUCGAUGUUGGCGCUAUACUCUCAGCGUGUUAGCGACAGCCAUAAGUAAUCCACCUCGGGAGUACGCUCGCACAGAGUGUCCUCUAAGGAAUUGACGGGGGUCCCCACAACCGGUGGAGUAUGUGGUGUAACUUGAUGAUACGCGAACGAACCUUCCCAAGGUUAGAAUGUUUCCGGCCCGCCGCCGAAAGGUGGCUCUCUCUUCGGAGCCCGACAGCAAGGUGCUGCAUGGCGGUCGUCACCUCGUGCCGUGAGAAAGGGCGCUAGGUCCCACUACGCGCGCAAUCCGCCAUAGUUAGUUCAGCAUCAGGAUAUGCUGGGGCCUCUCGCUAAACCGCCCGCGUAAGCCGUGAGGAAGGCGGGGGCGACGUCAAGUCAUCAUGGCCCUUACACCUUUGGCUACACACCUACUACACUGGCCGGUUCAAAGGGUCCUAUCCCAGCGACGAGAAGCUAAUCUCAAAAAGCCGGUCUCAGUUCGGAUCGGAGUAUGCAACUUGAGUCCAAGCAGUCGGAAUCCGUAGUAAUUGCAGACCAGAAUUCCGCGGAGAAUACGCUCCCGGACCA
rnacentral:rRNA from 1 species